UACAGAGACUGCAAGCGUUAUUCGGAUUCACUGGGCGUAAAGGGUGCGCAGGCGGCCAAGUGUGUCAGGUGUGAAAUCCCCGAGCUUAACCUCGGAACUGCGCCUGAAACUACUUGGCUAGAGUACUGGAGAGGGUAACGGAAUUCACGGUGUAGCAGGUGAAAUGCGUAGAUAUCGUGAGGAACACCAGAGGCGAAGGCGGUUACCUGGACAGUUACUGACGCUCAGGCACCGAAAGCGUGGGGGAGCAAAAGGG
rnacentral:rRNA from 1 species